rnacentral:rRNA from 1 species
UACGAAGGGUGCAAGCGUUACUCGGAAUUACUGGGCGUAAAGCGUGCGUAGGUGGUGAGUUAAGUCUGUCGUGAAAGCCCCGGGCUCAACCUGGGAAUGGCGAUGGAUACUGGCUCGCUAGAGUGCGGUAGAGGAGAGUGGAAUUCCCGGUGUAGCAGUGAAAUACGUAGAGAUCGGGAGGAACAUCAGUUGCGAAGGCGGCUCUCUGGACCAGCACUGACACUGAGGCACGAAAGCGUGGGGAGCAAACAGG